rnacentral:rRNA from 1 species
GAUGAACGCUGGCGGCGUGCUUAACACAUGCAAGUCGAGCGGAUAGGCGCUGCUUUUGUGUGGUUCCCGAGUGGCGAGCGGGUGUGUAACACGGGAGUAUCCUUCCCUUGACUGUGUGAUAACUGCAGGAGACUGCGGCUAAUACCGGAGACGAGCUCCUGCUGCAUGGGGGUGGUUGGAAAGUUUCGGCGGUGGUGGAUGUACUGGCGGCUUACCAGCUUGUUGGUUGGGUAGUUGCUUACCAAGGGUUCGACGGGUAGUCGGCAUGGGAGGGUGAACAGCGACCUUGGGACUAAGAGACGGAGCAGAGUCGUACAGUAGGCAGCAGUCGGAAAUCUUACCCAAUGGGGGCAAGCGUGAUAAGGAAGUGCCGCGAGCGGAAAGACGGCUUACGGGUUGUAAACCGCUGUCGCCUGUGACGAAGCGUGAGUGACGGUAAUGAGUAAAGAAGCACCGGCUAACUACGUG